rnacentral:rRNA from 1 species
GAUGAACGCUAGCGGGAGGCCUAACACAUGCAAGCCGAGCGGUAUUGUUUCUUCGGAAAUGAGAGAGCGGCGUACGGGUGCGUAACACGUGUGCAACCUGCCUUUAUCUGGGGGAUAGCCUUUCGAAAGGAAGAUUAAUACUCCAUAAUAUAUUUAACGGCAUCGUUUAAUAUUGAAAGCUCCGGCGGAUAGAGAUGGGCACGCGCAAGAUUAGCUAGUUGGUGAGGUAACGGCUCACCAAGGUGAUGAUCUUUAGGGGGCCUGAGAGGGUGAUCCCCCACACUGGUACUGAGCCACGGACCAGACUCCUACGGGAGGCAGCAGUGAGGAAUAUUGGUCAAUGGGUGCAAGCCUGAACCAGCCAUCCCGCGUGAAGGACGACUGCCCUAUGGGUUGUAAACUUCUUUUGUAUAGGGAUAAACCUACCCUCGAGAGGGUAGCUGAAGGUACUAUACGAAUAAGCACCGGCUAACUCCGU